CCCCUAGACGUUCUGGGCUGCACGCGCGCUACAAUAAUACGCACAGCGAGUAUCACCGAGCUCGAAAGGGCAAGGUAAACAAUAGAAAAGGUACUGUAAUGGUUAUAGAUCCUUGUAAUUAUUGAUCUUCAACGAGGAAUUCCUAGUAAGUAUGUGUCAUCAUCACGCACUGAUUACGUCCCUGCCCUUUGUACACACCGCCCGUCGCUCCUACCGAUUGAGUGAGCCGAUGAAACUCUCGGAUGUAGGCUAUUCAUAGCCCGCAGAAGAGAUUUGAAUCGUAGCGCUUAGAGGAAGGAGAAGUCGUAACA
rnacentral:rRNA from 1 species